rnacentral:rRNA from 1 species
GACGAACGCUGGCGGCGUGCUUAACACAUGCAAGUCGAACGGAAAGGCCCUGCUUGCAGGGUACUCGAGUGGCGAACGGGUGAGUAACACGUGGGUGAUCUGCCCUGCACUUCGGGAUAAGCCUGGGAAACUGGGUCUAAUACCGGAUAUGACCUUCCAUGUAGUGUGGGGGGUGGAAAGAUUUAUCGGUGUGGGAUGAGCCCGCGGCCUAUCAGCUUGUUGGUGGGGUAAUGGCCUGCCAAGGCGUCGACGGGUAGCCGGCCUGAGAGGGUGGACGGCCACAUUGGGACUGAGAUACGGCCCAGACUCCUACGGGAGGCAGCAGUGGGGAAUAUUGCACAAUGGGCGGAAGCCUGAUGCAGCGACGCCGCGUGGGGGAUGACGGCCUUCGGGUUGUAAACCUCUUUCGACAGGGACGAAGCUUCGGUGACGGUACCUGUAUAAGAAGCACCGGCUAACUACGUG